rnacentral:rRNA from 1 species
GCCAGACUCCUACGGGAGGCAGCAGUGGGGAAUAUUGCACAAUGGGGGAAACCCUGAUGCAGCGACGCCGCGUGAGUGAAGAAGUAAUUCGUUAUGUAAAGCUCUCUCAGCAGGGAAGAAAAUGACGGUACCUGAGUAAGAAGCCCCGGCUAACUACGUGCCAGCAGCCGCGGUAAUACGUAGGGGGCAAGCGUUAUCCGGAUUUACUGGGUGUAAAGGGAGCGUAGACGGCAGUGCAAGUCUGGAGUGAAAGGCGGAGGCUCAACCCCCGGACUGCUCUGGAAACUGUACGGCUGGAGUGCAGGAGAGGUAAGUGGAAUUCCUAGUGUAGCGGUGAAAUGCGUAGAUAUUAGGAGGAACACCAGUGGCGAAGGCGGCUUACUGGACUGUAACUGACGUUGAGGCUCGAAAGCGUGGGGAGCAAACAGGAUUAGAUACCCCAGUA